GAUGAAGAACGCAGCGAAAUGCGAUAAGUAGUGUGAAUUGCAGAAUUCAGUGAAUCAUCGAAUCUUUGAACGCACAUUGCGCCCCCUGGUAUUCCGGGGGGCAUGCCUGUUCGAGCGUCAUUUCACCACUCAAGCCUCGCUUGGUAUUGGGCAACGCGGUCCGCCGCGUGCCUCAAAUCGACCGGCUGGGUCUUCUGUCCCCUAAGCGUUGUGGAAACUAUUCGCUAAAGGGUGCUCGGGAGGCUACGCCGUAAAACAAACCCAUUUCUAAGGUUGACCUCGGAUCAGGUAGGGAUACCCGCUGAACUUAAGCAUAUCAAUAAGCGGAGGA
rnacentral:misc_RNA from 1 species